GAUGAACGCUGGCGGCGUGCCUAAUACAUGCAAGUCGAGCGAAGCGGGGACGGGUGAGUAACACGUGGAUAACCUCCUAUAAGACUGGGAAAACUUCGGGAAACCGGACCUAAACCGGCAACUUAUCGCUGGUUCCGCGAUGCAUUAGCUAGUUGGUAAGGUAACGGCUUACAAAGGCAACGAUGCAUAGCCGACCUGAGAGGGUGAGCGGCCACACGGGAACUGAGACACGGUCCAGACUCAUACGGGAGGCAGCAGUAGGGAAUCUUCCGCAAUGGGCGCAAGCCUGACGGAGCAACGCCGCGUGAGUGAUGAAGGUCUUCGGAUCGUAAAACUCUGUUAUUAGGGAAGCGGUACCUAAUCAGAAAGCCACGGCUAACUACGUGCCAGCAGCCGCGGUAAUUC
rnacentral:rRNA from 1 species